rnacentral:lncRNA from 1 species
ACAGCUCACUCUGUGGCAUGUGUGGAGCAGCUCAGUGGAAUGUGGUGCUGCAUUCCAGGGUGGCCUCAAGCCCAGGUUUAUGAAGGAAUCCAUCUUUCUGCAUUUCUGAUCAUCAUUAGAUGGGUGCUGUUUCCUUACACAAGGUGAAUUAUCUGCCCCCCCGAGUGAAGUUAAAAGCAGGAAGAAAGAAUGGUGGCUGUCCUCUUCUGUCACUGUGUGUGUGCGCACACACACAUUUUGUCACUGUUAUCUCAGUGGCCAGAGCAAGAAAUGCCUUAUCUUAUCUUGGCUAUGCUCAUGUUCCCCCAGUCUCUUGGUAUCUGAAUAAAACAGUGCCACUCUUUGCAAGAAGAAAGCAGAGAAGAAGUCAGGUGGAAAACACCACUGCUGCAUGUGAAGGCCUAGGCAACUGUUGCCUGCCUGGCCAGCCACUUUGUGCUGUUACUAAUGUUACAGAGAAAAUUUUUCAUGUGUUGUCGUAGG